rnacentral:rRNA from 1 species
AACGAACGCUGGCGGCAGGCUUAACACAUGCAAGUCGAACGCACCUUUCGGGGUGAGUGGCCGACGGGUGAGUAACGCGUGGGAAUCUACCCUUCUCUACGGGAUAGCUCCGGGAAACUGGAAUUAAUACCGUAUACGUCCUGAGGGAGAAAGAUUUAUCGGGGAAGGAUGAGCCCGCGUUGGAUUAGCUAGUUGGUGGGGUAAAGGCCUACCAAGGCGACGAUCCAUAGCUGGUCUAAGAGGAUGAUCAGCCACAUUGGGACUGAGACACGGCCCAAACUCCUACGGGAGGCAGCAGUGGGGAAUAUUGGACAAUGGGCGCAAGCCUGAUCCGGCCAUGCCGCGUGAGUGAUGAAGGCCCUAGGGUUGUAAAGCUCUUUCAGUGGGGACGAUAAUGACGGUACCCACAGAAGAAGCCCCGGCUAACUUCGUG